rnacentral:lncRNA from 1 species
GGGCGAGGGCUAAGUGUGGUUCUGACAUCUCUCACUUCAUCCAUUUCCAGGCUGACCUGGCUGACUAGAUGGGAGUCCCUACCUCCCUCUCCUUUUCAUGUAUGUCCUUCUUGAAGCUACAUAGUUUUUUUUAAAAAACAACAACAACAGAGAAGCACUUUUCUUUGGUUAGACACAAGGAUCUGUCCUUCUUGCUAAACUGUCAAACGAGCUCCCUGUGUUAGUGAGGUCUGCACAUAGGAUGAGGCCAGACCAAGAAGUUGGAUGACAAAGCAGAUUCCAGGGGCUAGAACUC